rnacentral:rRNA from 1 species
AACGCACCUUGCGCUCCUUGGUAUUCCGAGGAGCAUGCCUGUUUGAGUGUCAUUAAAUUCUCAACCUCUCCAGCCUUUUGGCUGGACGAGGAUUGGAUGUGGGGGUGUGCUGGCUUCGUCAAGAGGUCGGCUCCCCUGAAAUACAUUAGCUGGUUGCCUUGUGUAAACUUGUCUAUUGGUGUGAUAAUUAUCUACGCCGUGGACUAUUUGCCGUUUUUAGCACUGCUUAUAAUCGUCUGUUCAUUCGGACAAUAUAUGACAAUUUGACCUCAAAUCAGGUAGGACUACCCGCUGAACUUAA